UGGAAACUACGUGCAAUCAAAUGGAUAUAGUUACAAGUUUUUAAAAAUUAAAAUAAAAUUGUUAGGCUGAUGAUACACAUGGGCAACUUUUUUGAGAAAUGUUGCUUGGACACUUUCCCGUUGAGAAUGGGUAACAAAUUUCUAUUUGGAUACUUUAGAUCGGUCGUGGGCCCUGUGUCUCACUUGGUUGCCUGUUGACAGCAACGUUGCCCAAAAAGUUGCCCGGUGUAUCAUCAGCCCAAGGCUUUAAGCAUGUAGCCACAUCUUUAGCAACAUCAUUCAUAUGACGUGUUAGUUUUAUCACAUUUAAAACUUUUUGUGCUUGCAGGUGCUUCAGGUGUGAGACGAUGGAGCUGCAUCACUAAUCAAUGUACACCUGUUGAGAGGGCGAUUCUGGAGGCACUCAACGAACUGGACAUGAAGAUCAAUCAUCUAACUUCAGUGGUCCAGUCCCUUGCAGCUAACAGCCGUUCCAAUGCUCCAGUGCUGCUGGUGGACAGUGAGGAUGAUGUCUUUCCUCUCAAAACCAUGGAGGAACUAGACAAACUGGAAAGACAAUUAUCAGAAAAAGCAAUUAUGCAAAAGAUGGUGAACAGGUUAUCCAUCAGCGGAGGACACACACGGAAGAAAACCAUAUGGAGAAUAUGCUCCAAGGUUUUUGGUCCUGUAGCCAAACAGCUGAACUGGUGUGGAAGGGGAGAAAAGCGAGGGAUCAGGAAAACAAACAUAGGAGCACUCCUAAUAGAUACGUCCAAAACGUUUUCCAAUGUACAGUGUACGGGUAACACUUAACAUUAAGGUUCAUUAGUUAACAUUAGUUAACAUGAUCUAAGAAUUAACAACACUUUUACAGCAUUUAUUAAUCUUAGUUAAUGCUAAUUUCAGCAUUUAUUAAUGCAUUAAAAUCAUAAGUUGUUCGUUAACAUUAGAUAAUGCACUGUGAAUUAACAUGAACAAACAAUGAACGCCUGUAUUUUUAUUAACAAACAAUAACUAAGAUGAAUAAAUAGUGAUAGUGUAACAAAUGUGUUGUUCAUGUUCACUAAUGCUAGUUAAUGCAUUAACUAAUGUUAACAAAUGAUACCAUAUUGUAAAGUGUUACCAGUGCAUGCAGUACUUUUAAAGAUGGAACUGUUGAUACAGCUUCAUAAAGCAUGAUUACUCCUCGUGAGCUUUUCAUACAGACUUGGGCCUACAUAAUAUCUUUAUAUUAAGAUGCAUGUGCCUACCAGCAGAUACAUCCCGUUUAAACAGUGUAAAAUGUUGUUUCAUACACACAAGAGCAUUUUAGAAAUGGAAACUUUUGUUUUAACAUUAACACAAUUAGGCUAAGUGACCGAGAACUGUUGAUGAACUACAAAAUCUGCUGUUACCGCGACUUGAUUAAACCACAGAAACACCUAUCUGUCAAAAUUAAGGUAAUACUUCAUCUGUUCGAUUUACUUUAUAUAAAAUCAAAUAUAUAUUUGGCUGACCACCACGUAUAU